ACCUGCCCUCGCCGUUGGCCCUCUCCCCCGCCCGUCCCCUCUUCCUCCCGCGGGGCCGGGAAGAGCGGCCGGUUCCCGAGCCCGCGAGGGUGGCGGCUGUCCCCCAGCCCUCCCCGCCCUCCCGGAGCGCGCUCCCCCACCUCGGGGCGCGGGGCCGCGGCAGGCAAGGAGUGUUUCCCCCGCCCUCCGGCCCUCGCCUCGGGCGCUCCGGGCGGCCUCCGUCCCGGCGACCCGCGGGGCCUGAGCCUCCCUGUCCCUCCCUCCUUCCAGCCUUAGGCCGCCCCGUUCCGCCUCUACUCUUUCCGUCCUAACACGCAGGCGACGGCACUGAAGUCAGGCUCUCAGAGCCCGGCUCUGCUCGCUUUAGCUGCGAGACCUUGGGCUUGUCUUCUAACCUCUCUGAGCCCCAGCUGCCAUCCGACUCUGAGAAGAGUAAAAACCUGCCUCACCGGGUAAAGUUGAAUGAUGCACGUAGAAGGGCCUAGAACUUAGCAGACUGUGGUAGCCGAGAAAAGCCUUCUGCUGCCCUCACCCCUUGCCAGGCACAUGAGGAGCAGGAGUGAGGAACAGGACUCUCAGAAGCCCAGGCCUCUUCUGCUCCAAGACCCAAGGCCUCUGCCAGGCCCCUGCUGCGGGGACUCAGAGCCUGGAGGCUGGGGCCGAAGGGAGUGGGGGUGGCACCAGCAGCUAAAUUUGCUUAUGACUAGCCUGUCAGUCCCUUAAUCUGAUCCCCGAGGAAGAACGGCAGAGGCUUCACUCUGGAUGACAAACGAGGAGGGGAGAGGCCUGCCCUGCCUGGACUCCUGGCCCCAGCCAUGUCUGUAAGCAAGAUGACACCUAGAGCGAGUCCCUGUAUCUCCUUUAUCUUCCUCACUGGGAUGUCCCCAGUGGUUCAUGCUCAGACCUGGGAAUCCUGAUUCACCUUGGCCUGCAGCUGGACUCAGAAGGACGAGUGGCUGAGGCACCCCCACGUGGCUUCCAGACCUCAGGGGCCCUGAGGAGUAGCGCCAAUCUGGGGGUGCAAGGUGGAUGCAGAAAGGACACUGGAGAGACUUUGGUGGCACUCAUGGCCAUGGUUUCUCCUCUUCCUCCUCCCUCUGGCUCCCGGACCCCCACGUCUGCUUUGUCUGCCAUCUACAGACCCCCACCCCCACCCCCAGGUGUCCUCCCAGCUGUUCUGCUCAUGCCCUCCUGCCUCUCACAGCCAGGUCUGCCACAGGGGGAGGCAAAGCAUUGGCCCCAAGCUUCUCAUUUCAAGAACCUUUGACCUUGAGUGUGCAUACUUCAGCACACUCCUGCAGGGUUGGCAGUCAGGAGGCACCUGUGGACUCCGGAGACAGAGCUGGGCAGAGGUCAAGCGUGUGGCCCUUAGCAGCAGGCAGAACAGGUCUCAAUAUCUUCUCCAGUCUCUAGCAGAGUGGUCUUGGCCAUGUCACUUAACUUCUCUGAGCCUCAGUGGCCUCAUCGCCAAUAUGGGUCUGAUAACACCUGCCUCAAACAGUUAUUGUGAAGGUUAAAUACAUAGUAAUACAGCAAACUACAGGAAAUUGCCUUUAUUCGACCUGCUUUUGACAUUAAUAAAUAUUUAUUGGGUGAAAUACUACAUCAAUAAACUCUA